GGCAACUUGCCAGAGUGGUCUAAUGGGUGAGACUUGAAUAUAUAUUCAGCCAUCUCAUGGGCUCCGCCCGCACAGGUUCGAACCCUGUAGUUGUCG